rnacentral:sRNA from 1 species
UACGGGCUUACGAGGCUUUUGGGCCAAGU